rnacentral:rRNA from 1 species
AUUGAACGCUGGCGGCAGGCCUAACACAUGCAAGUCGAACGAGUGGCGGACGGGUGAGUAAUGUCUGGGAAACUGCCUGAUGGAGGGGGAUAACUACUGGAAACGGUAGCUAAUACCGCAUACCAUCGGAUGUGCCAAGAUGGGAUUAGCGAGUAGGUGGGGUAAAGGCUCACCUAGGCGACGAUCCCUUGCUGGUCUGAGAGGAUGACCAGCCACACGUGAACUGAGACACGGUCCAGACUCCUACGGGAGGCAGCAGUGGGUAAUAUUGCCCAUGGUGCGCAAGCCUGAUGCAGCCAUGCCGCUUGUAUGAAGAAGGCCCUCGGGUUGUAAAGUACUUUCAGCGGGGAGGCGUUACCCGCAGAAGAAGCACCGGCUAACUCCGUGCCAGCAGCCGCGGUAAUUC